AAUCUGAAAAAGGAGCUUCUUAAGGGUCCAGGGGAGCUUAUUAAAGGACCUAACCCUUUCGUUGGUGCUACAAGCUUACCUGUGAAGCCAGCCUCUUUUAAAACUGCUGAGACUAAUAAUCCAACUAUCAGUUAAGUCGGUUGUUUUACUUAUCUCUACACACUCUCAAGAGAUUUAGAUGUCAAAAUCCACCAAUUUUUUCUGCAUGUUUUCUUGUUCUCUGUCCAGAUCAACUACAGAAGGAGCAAUGGGCAGUAUGCAGUUUGAAGACACUGCAUCUGCUGCUGAAGCAGCUGCAGAAUCUGCUAAGGAGGCAAUUGCAGCAGCACAGGCUGCUGCUUAUCUAGCCAACAAGAACCACAAUCAGGCCUCUGAACCACCUCGUUUUUAAUAAUUCAAGCAUUAAUCCUGCAACGGCUACUGCUUAUCUAGUGAAAAAGAACUUCAAUCAGGCCUCUCAACCACCUGAUUUUAGUACUUCAUUCAUCAAUACUGGAUUUGGGGUGCUUUCUGGCAAUUCGAUGGGCAUUGCAAACAAUCCUCAGAUCAACUACACGAAUAUGGAUCAUCAAUCUCAAGGUCCUGUGAGAUUACAUGACCCCAGAGUUUUAAUAGGUCUCAUUAUCUAAGCAAUGUGGAGGCAAGAUCAGUGCAGAUGGAUAGUGAACACAUUUAUAGGAGACAUAGCCACAAGGAAUCAAGGCCAAUCCAGAUGGAUGGUCAAACUGUCCAUAGGAGACACAGCUACAAUGCAUCUUCUCCAAAUUCAGAAAUGAAGUUUGAUGAAUCAGACUGUGAUGGAGAGAUUGAAAUGGAAGAUUCUCGAGUUGGCAUCUAUCCACCACCACCACCUAAGCAGCCUCCUCCAGUACCUUCAUCUCAUGUAGACCGAGUUCCUCGAGUUCAUCCUAAAUUACCAGAUUAUGAUGAACUGGCUGCUCUCUUUGAAGGUCUGAAGUACCACAAAUCACAAACCUUGAAGCUCUAAAGCAUCCCAAAUCACAAGCCUAGAGCAAAAUGCUUGGUGUAUCAUUUUUGUUAGCUUUUACAAGCCUUUGCAUGGUAUGGAUGAUCCUAUAUGGUAUAGAUAACAAACAAUGCGCAUUCUUUUUUCUAAUAUCUACAAAAAUAAAUCACUAUCAUUGAUGAAUUUUAUCUUUUCAACUCUGUCUUUA